CAACUUCCUGUAUGUACAACUGACAUGGCGGGCCCCUAUAAAUAAUAUUCGCUCGAAACCGAGAGAGAAGCUACGUUUAAAACGCCCUUUAUCAAAGUUUGAUAAAGACAGAAAACAGAGAAAAUCAUACACACGCAAAGGAAAAAAAUUGACAAACCGAGAACACUAUUCAGAUCUCAUCUUCCCUUCAAUUUUGAAUCAACAUUCUGUAAAGGUAUUCCAAUUUUGUAAUUUUUCGUCCGAAUUAAUUUUGGAAGGCUAGCAGUGUUUAUAUAUCUUUCUUGAAUCAUUGAAGGUUUUUAUUUUAUUUUAUUAUUUUGUAUUAUUAAUUUAAAUAUCUAAAUGUUGCUGUCUAUUAACAUUAAUUUAGUUUUUAGUUUAUUUUCUUUGGUCCCAGAUUUUAGUUAUGACUCAUGUGUGUUGCUUGCCGUUGGUUGUCUAGUAAUAGAAUUUGAUACUCGGCUUGUCUGAAGGAAAAAUAUUUUCCGUUGUAAUUAUUUACAUGAAAAAAGGUAUUUCUUAUUGGGUUUUGGUUUAUGUAAUGAAAAUAUUUUGUCGUGGACAGUGGUGGUUGGCAAUAGCAGUGGCAGUGGGUGAAAAAUCUGGAAAGUGACGGUGUAAACUCAUUUAUUUUGGGAUUGAUACAAAGUUUUUUUGUUUGAAAAAUGUUAUUAGGACAACGUUUCUUGUCGAAAUGGAAAUAAUUGAAAAGUUAAGCAUAAAAUUUUACAUUGAAACUAAGAAGAAUGGACAUGGACAAGUAGACACAUGAUUUUUCAACAUAAGAAAGUUAAUUUAAAUUAUUUACAUUUAUAUAGUAUAUCUUUAUUUCUUAAUUUUAUUUUCAACAUAUCCUUUUUAGUUUAUGAUUUUUGUUGGUGAAGUCCUUUAAACUGAUUCGUAGCUAUUUGUUAGAUAUAAAUAACUAUGAGUUAAUCCAUAUAUUACUACUACUAGGGAAAUAUAAAUUGAUAGUUGGCAUAAAAAAAAAUUCAACUUGAGUUGGUCGAACUUUUCACGUGUAAACCACCACAUUGCUUGUUGGAUAAGUGUAGUGUCAUGUGUAUAGUUAAAACUAGAAAGAAAGUUCAUGUAACUUUUCACUCGUGAUACACCACGUUGCAUGUUGUUUAUGUGUCUUCAGGUAUUGUUAACUAACAUGACACACAGCUCCAAUAAGAGGGCCGGUGAUUCAUAGGAAAAAAGUGGAGACUAAAUUUUUUGAUUGAUUUUGUUUGCUGGAUUGUUUUGGAAGGUAAAGUCAAAUGGGACAUUCCACCAAUACGAAAGUUACUAGAUUAAUGUUAAGUUCUGUGACUUCUGUCUCAUGAGCUAUUUUGCGAAGGAAACUAAAUGCUUACUAUGACGUUAGCUAUGGAACUGUAAUAUUCAAAAAUAAAAGAUAAAAAAUGUAUGAAUGUAUGAGCUUUCUGAAAAAUAAUGCUUGUUCUUAGUUAGAAAAUAAUUUUGGUGACCUAGUGCUUUGAUUGAACAAAACGUCUAAAAGUUGAACACCAUUAUCAAGUUAUUAUGCUGGGAUCGAAAUUCAUGUUAGAACAGUGUAAACUUUUAUUUGGUUACUCUUUGUGAUUCCUAAAAAUGAUGCUAGAAGCUUUCAGGAAAGACAGAGAUGUGGGAUAUGUAGCUAAGAGGUAAUGAAAAGGUAUCGGUUUAAUUUUAUGUUGGGAUGAUCUACUAUGGAAAUCUUUAUGUACUUUGAAGAUGGAUGGAAAAACAUGUUGAAAAGAAGUAUAAUUUCCAAUUAUUUUUAUUGAUUUAGAAAGGCAAAUGAUAGAGUUCUUACAGAAGAGCUGUGUUAGGUUCUACUAGAAAAUCAAGUUUUAUUUAAUAUUUAAGAAAAAAGAGAGAUAUAUGAUUAAGCAGUCGCAAGUGUAAGGUCUGGUGGCGAUGAUUAUUACUAUAGGCUUGUGUCGAGUUUCUGCUUAGGUCCUUAUGCUGUUAAAGUUCACAGGAAAAUUUUAUUUAGAAGUUUUUAAAUGGUUAUUAGAUGAAUUAUACUUCUUAUGUGAACCCUGUUGCAUGAUGUAUGCUGGAACCCAUUCAAAAUUUGAUAUAUAUAUAUAUAUAACGUCACAAGUAGAUGAAGAACCUUAACCCAAUGAUUUCUUGAAUCAAGAACUGAGGUUUAAAAGGUUGAACGUCACAAAGAUUGAAAAUUUUUAAUAAAACCUGGAUAGGUCUAUUAAGAACAAGAUUGAAAGCGAAUUCUCACUUUAUAAUUAAUCUUUCAAAAUAAUUUGUUCUUUAUUUGUAAUGAAUAAAACCUUAUAUAUAUGAGGACUCAAACAAACCUAAUUAACUGGUAAAACAUCAAGAAAAUACUAAAUAAAUAGAGUUCUAAUCAAAACGGAAAACUAAAUUCAUGUGGAUCAAUUUUGUACGAUGUAUAACGCUCCACGGAAUUUGCUCUCGUGUUUUAAAAUUUAUUGGCUCACACAAGCGAAAAUGUAAAGCAAUAUGUGUGCGUUGCUUUCUAGCUAGGCUCCCGGCUCAACUUCUUCCUCCUUAGCUUGAAUCAACUGUACCAAGGUUGGUUCUUCUUCUUUCAAGCUCAUCUCGAAACUUGGUAUCUUACUUGUUGAACUUGAACACUCGGCCCACGUAGCUUAGACAAGUCCUUGCAUGGCUUCCUUGAUCUUUUUUUGCUUUUGACCUUGUUAUUGGCCCCUUCUAAACAUAUAAAGGAUCCUUGCUAUCUUGCUUUCCGUGAUACUCAUCAAGUUCAGUAUUGAAGGAUUGGAUGUUGAAGGACAAAGCUUAGAAGAUGAAUAUAGUAGAAACAAAUAUAUUAAGAUGAAUGUGUAAUCAUAAUACAACAGAUCAAAAUAAGAAAUGGGGAUAUACUCCUACGAGUCCGACCUGAUGUGGUAUACAAGUUAAGGAUAAAUUAAGAGAGGAAUGGCUUGAUGGUUUUUUAUAUGUUUUGUGCAUGCCUAAAAAUUCACUAAUUUAUAGAACAAUGGGCCUAGUUGGACAAGUUAGAAGAGAGAGAUUUGGUUGCAAGAUGUUAGAUUUCAUUAGAGUUUUGAGUAUAUAUAGAGCCUGUUUGACAUAACUUUUGAAAAGCCAAAAGGAGUUUUUAAGAUCUAAAAGCUGUUUUUGAACCCGUUUGACUAAUUUUAUGAGUGAUUCUUCUAAUUAGAAGAGCUUUUGGUAUGACUUUCUCUAAAAUUACUUUCGGAAUAGGAAGCUCUUUCAAAAAUUAAUUUUCAAACAAAAAUUAAGGCAACUUCUUUCAAAAACUUUUUUACCGAAAGCAAAAGUGCCAAACGGACCCAUGGUCGAACCGAGUUGCGAGAAGCACUUUGUUGUGGCGAACUUCACUUUUAUUGGAAAUAAGACUUGAUUUAUUGAUAGUUGAUAUUUUAUAUAUACUUUGUACUAAUAGGAAAGUUAUACUUUCCUCUCUUGGUUAUGAUUUGGCUUAUGAUUGACCAACCUUUUAUUAAAUCUAUACUAGAUUAGAGUGCUUGUGACAUCUUUACAUAUAAAUUUGUGCAGAUCUGAGGAGAGAAAAGUACAAAGUUAAUAAUAAAUAAUGGGCUCAGAGGGAGAAAAUUUCGAUCAUUCAGGACCCUUGCAUCUGACAACAGUUGACUGGUAUGACACUUACACUUUGUAAUGUUUAUGAGUAUCUGAAAUGUUAAGGAUAUGGAUUGUAGAGAGAUUGCAUUUAAGAAUCUGCUAUUCGUAAUUAAAAAAAAGUAAAGUAAAGAUAAUAGUAAUGAUAAAUAAUCGGGGGACUUAUUACGCUGCAAAUAUGGCACACUGAAAACUUGCAGCCAUUUCCUAAUCUGCUUGACAUCAUUUGAGUUUGACAACCGAGCAAAAACUGGUGUAAUUGUAUAGCGGUAUCUGAAAACUUAUCUUGAGGAUGCCCUAAAGAACGAAUGGUAUCCUUAUGAAUAUUUAAACCAAAAUUGUGAAAGCAUUUAAAGAUACAUGACCAGUUGAGAAUCGCGAUGUUUAAGUACACGAUCUAAAAGUGCCUCCUCCUCAUAUUCAAUUCUUGAUAUAACUUACAGAAAUUUUUUUCAGUCUGAGAUAAAGCAACAUUUUGUGUUGGAAAUUCUCUACCAUGCCUGCAAACCGCUCUUUCAAAAUUUUACCAAGAAAAAGUCUCUGUUAAGAAUAAAAAUUAAUAGUUACAAUUAAAGAGCUGCUGCAUAUUUGGUUAUGCUUUAUAGUUAAACUUAUUUUUCAAUAACUUUGUUUCCAGACAUGUUUGAAUAAGUUACUUUUUUUUUUUUAAGGAAAAAUAGUUAUUUAAAUAGUAAGGUAGGGGUUACUUUCAAAAUGUGUAACUACUUAUUUCCAACUUUUAACCAACAUAUCAAGUUUAGUUAAACAUAUUUACUUAUAAGUAAAUUCUCAAGUAAUUUUUUUAGUUUAGCCACACAUGCACCUGAUCCUAUAUGCUGUUUUUGGCAGGACAAAUUUCAGUCACCGAAGGUCUGUUGCAGCUAGUUUGGUUCAGAGUGUCUACAUUUUGGAGCGGGAUCGUCAGGAGAAGCGGGAAGGAAGCGAAGCCCUUGCCCCUCCUUGGUGGAAAUUCUUCAAUUUUCAGCUGUACAGACAACUGAUUGAUGAUGCCGAUUCUUCUGUCUUUGGUGCAAUCUAUGAACUCAGUUGCACUGCAUCAGAAAACAUCCCUUCGGCACAACAAGCCCCUCGAUAUAUUGUCGCUUUUCGAGGCACUAUUACCAAGGGGGAUGCAUUUUCACGAGACCUUGAAUUGGACGUCCACAUUAUUCAAAAUGGUCUUCACGGGACAUCUCGCUUUGAGAUAGCCAUACAAGCUGUUCGACACGUGGUGGCGACAUUUGGAAAUUGCGGUGUUUGGGUAGCCGGCCAUUCACUGGGGUCGGCCAUGGCAAUGCUUGCUGGGAAGAAUAUGGCAAAGAGUGGAGUAUUUCUUGAAGCAUUUUUGUUCAACCCACCAUUCUUUUCUGCCCCAAUUGAGAGAGUCAAGGAUGAAAAGAUGAAACAUGGCAUAAGAAUUGCAGGCAGUGUGAUUACAGCUGGACUUGCUUUUGCUAUGAAACAUAAGGACACAAAAAAUGGGUAUGGAGACUCAUUUGUUUCUCUGUCUUGUUGGUUGCCAUGUCUAUUUAUCAACCCGGAUGAUCACAUUUGCUCGGAGUACAUAGGGUACUUCGAACACCGGAAAAAGAUGGAGGCAAUUGGGAUAGGAGGUAUAGAAAGGUUGGCUACUCAACACUCUAUUGGGGGUCUUUUAUUGAAUGCAAUGGGUAAGGAGGUGGACGAGCCACUGCAUCUUAUUCCUUCAGCUAAUCUGACAGUUAAUCGCACUCCGUCACAAGAUUUCAUAGAUGCUCAUGGUAUUCACCAGUGGUGGCGACCUGAUCUGAAUCUCGAGUCGGAAGUUUAUUUUUACAAGUGAGAUAUCUUUUGGUUUAUUGGUAUUCAUCGUAGGGAUCUUUACCGUUUCAAAUGUACAUGUGCUUAACUGCAUGUGUGAAUAAUCUCCAUGCCAUCAAUGUAUUAUUGUGAUUUGUUGUUUAUUCUCUUAGCCCUCAUUGUCAUCAAUUCUGUAUCAUUGUAAAUUUCAAAGCUUUUUGUUUUGGAAAGCUAUUUUCUCUCCCCUUCAUGAUUUCAAGAAAUUUAUGGGUUUAGCCUUUGAAAAGCUCUGUGGUCUGUUUUCUGGGAUGCAAUUAGCCAAUUAGCCGUGUCGAUUGAAUCGAUCGACCUAGC
rnacentral:lncRNA from 1 species